rnacentral:rRNA from 1 species
ACUGCUCAGUAACACGUGGCUAAUCUGCCCUUAGGACGAGAACAACCCCGGGAAACUGGGGCUAAUUCUCGAUAGGUGAAGAACUCUGGAAUGAGUCUUCGCCCAAAAAGCUUCACGUUAUGCGCGUGAGGUCGCCUAAGGAUGAGGCCGCGACCGAUCAGGUUGUUGGUGAGGUAAUGGCUCACCAAGCCUUUUACCGGUGCGGGCCGUGAGAGCGGGAGCCCGGAGAUGGGCACUGAGACAAGGGCCCAGGCCCUACGGGGCGCAGCAGUCGCGAAAACUUUGCAAUACACGAAAGUGUGACAGGGCUAUCCCGAGUGCCAUCCGCUGAGGAAGGCUUUUACCCAGUCUAGAACGCUGGGGGAAUAAGGAGAGGGCAAGUCUGGUGUCAGCCGCCGCGGUAAUACCAGCUCUCCGAGUGGUGUGGAUGUUUAUUGGGCCUAAAGCAUCCGUAGCUGGCUAAGUUAGUCCCUUGUUAAAUCCACCGAAUUAAUCGUUGGAUUGCGGGGGAUACUGCUUGGCUAGGGGACGAGAGAGGCAGACGGUAUUUCCGGGGUAGGGGUGAAAUCCUAUAAUCCCGGGAAGACCACCAGUGGCGAAGGCUGUCUGCUAGAACGCGCCCGACGGUGAGGGAUGAAAGCUGGGGGAGCGAACCGGAUUAGAUACCCGGGUAGUCCCAGCUGUAAACGAUGCAGGCUAGGUGUUUGGACGGCCACGUGCCGUUCUAGUGCCGCAGGGAAGCUGUUAAGCCUGCCGCCUGGGGAGUACGAUUGCAAGAUUGAAACUUAAAGGAAUUGGCGGGGGAGCAC